rnacentral:rRNA from 1 species
GACAGAGGGUGCAAACGUUGUUCGGAAUUACUGGGCGUAAAGCGAGUGUAGGCGGUCUGAUAAGUCGGGUGUGAAAGCCCCGGGCUCAACCCGGGAAGUGCACUCGAAACUGACAGGCUAGAGUACUGGAGAGGUUGGUGGAAUUCUCGGUGUAGAGGUGAAAUUCGCAGAUAUCGAGAGGAACACCGGUGGCGAAGGCGGCCAACUGGACAGAUACUGACGCUGAGACUCGAAAGCGUGGGGAGCAAACAGG